UCCAUCUCACUCCAGACCCGGGCCUGCCCCUGAUCGAUUCAAUACGAAAACGUUUGCCUUCACUCACCCUGGCGCAAUGUUAUGAAUUGCGGUUCGCCGGGAAAACGACACAGGACGACAGGAGGGGGUCAAUGGCCGAUACACUUUUUAAUAAGCGUCGAAUUUUGUCUUAUCUUUGACAAAAGUGGAAGCGCAAAAUCGGUUAUUGCGUGAAAUCCGGGAAGAUUUUUGCGAAUAAGUGUGCAAAAAUGACAUAGCUCACUUUUGGUGUGGGGAUAAUAAGGAGAAAAAUUGAUGAGUACUGAACUGAAGAUGUCAAUUACCACUACGGUUAUUACGCUGGCGCUGAUCGUUGCUGCCGCGCUGACCGCCGUCCUGCAUUAACCC
rnacentral:sRNA from 1 species